rnacentral:lncRNA from 1 species
GAGCAACUAAGCCCGUGCACCACAGUUAUUGAGCCUGUGUUCCAGAGCCCAGGAACCACAACUACUGAAGCCCACGCCGCAACUACUGAAGCUGGAGUGCCCUGGGAAGCCUGAGUGCCCUAGAGUCUGUGCUCCGCAGCAAGAGAAGCCGCUGCAAGGAGGCUGUGUGAGGAGACAGCUUAUUAACAAGGCCAGGGCCACUUGCAUCCUCUUCACCUGCUGGGCCUCCACCUGGAGUAGCCACUGAUUGGACAGUGACCACAGGCAUUUCAAGUUUGAGUUCUUUGUCCUUGACGGUAGCAUCUCACCAGAGCGUCUCAGGUAGCAGGCAUACAUUCAUCUGCCGUUUGGCAUCUAUAGGGUGUCUUUCACGCACCAAGCCCUGGAUGACAUACGCGAGGAGCGCUGAUGGACAUGAGUUCCAUCCUCUGACGAGCUUGCAGUUCACAGAGGAGGACAAAUGGGCAAACAUGCAAUUAUGAUGCCACACGAAAGGAGUAUAAACCAGGAGGGGACUGCAGGCUGCUCUCCUCGCCAGGGGUGUCCAGGGAGCCCAGGUACCGAGAUGUGUAAGAAGGAACUGUGGAUGUAGAUGUGGCUGUGAGCAAC